AGUCGAGCGAGAAGUCACAUUACUAAUUCUUCGGAAGAAGUAAAGUGAUGGAAAGCGGCGGACGGGUGAGUAACGCGUAGGCAACCUGCCUCUCACAGGGGGAUAGCCAUCGGAAACGGUGAUUAAUACCCCAUAAAGUCAAAAUAACACAUGUUAAGCUGACCAAAGAUUUAUCGGUGAGAGAUGGGCCUGCGUCUGAUUAACUAGUUGGUGAGGUAACGGCUCACCAAGGUGACGAUCAGUAGCCGACCUGAGAGGGUGAACGGCCACAUUGGAACUGAGACACGGUCCAAACUUCUACGGAAGGCAGCAGUAGGGAAUCUUGCACAAUGGGCGAAAGCCUGAUGCAGCAACGCCGCGUGAAGGAAGAAGGCCUUAGGGUCGUAAACUUCUGUUCUUGGGGAAGAAAAAAAUGACGGUACCCAAGGAGGAAGCCCCGGCUAACUACGUGCCAGCAGCCGCGGUAAUACGUAGGGGGCAAGCGUUAUCCGGAAUUAUUGGGCGUGAAGCGUGCGUAGGUGGUAAUUUAAGCGCAAGGUUUAAACUAACGGCUCAACCGUUAAUUGCCAUGCGAACUGGGUUACUUGAGUGCUGGAGGGGAAAGCGGAAUUCCUA
rnacentral:rRNA from 1 species